rnacentral:rRNA from 1 species
AUGGAGGGGCUCGACGUCGACGACGUCUUCCACCACUACCGGCUGAGCCCUACGGAAGUGGAGGCCGUCACCUACUACCUGCCACGCCUCCUCUCCGGCGAGACGCUGCAUGCCGUCGACAAGCUCAUCCACCGCGUCGACAUCACCGGCUGCGAGCCCAAGGAUCUGGCCGCCCGAUACGCGCCCGUGCCGCAGGCCAUGAGCAGCGGCGACCGGUUCUUCUUCACCACGUGCAAGAGCAAGAACGGGAGCAAGCUCCAGAGCGUGCGCAGCGCCGGCGGCGGCACCUGGAGCAUCCAGAAAACCUCGGAGAUUAGCCACGCGGGAGUCAAGGUCGGCGAGGUCAAGAACCUGUCCUUCAAGAAGAAGGGCAAGUCGACAGGCUGGGUCAUGGAGGAAUACCGGUGCCUGCUGCCGGAGGCCACCGUCUCCGACGGGGUGAAGGUGUUCAGCAAGAUGCACUUGGCUCAGCAUGCUCCUGACGCGGCCCGCCAGGAAUCGGAGGCGUACAAGCUUCAGCAACAGCAACCAGAGGCCGUGACCCCGAGCACGCACGCGCAGAAGAGGCCAGCGACCGCUGCCGCCGUCGAUCCUCAACCGGCGCGCCCCAAGAAGAGGACGUGCGUUGCCGUCCCCGUCCCGGCACCUGGAGCAUCGGCCACACCGUCGUUC